UUUUAUUAUACCGAUAUAAUGCAGUUGUUUUUACGAAAAUGGAAAAUGCAUAGUCGUGAGAUAGAAAAUUGGGAUAGUUUCCUGCAAUCCACCGGUCCUAAAAUUUAAUAAAUAAAUUGAUGGUACACUUCGUGAUUUCCUUAGUUCAAUUGAAAUUUAAUUAUUUAUCUUGAAAAUCAAUAUAAACAAAUUGAAUUUCGCAGAAGACGAGGGUCUUAAUAAUUGUUUACUUAUGUAAAUUGUUGGCAAAAUACUCAAUAAGCUGUGUUUAAUACGUAGUAAGGCUUUAUCAACCCGAGUCAGGCGAAGGUUGGCUUCUCCAUGAGACCCUUCAGCUGUUACUUAUUAAAAUGACACUCAGGAUUAACGGAAAUUCUAUUAUUUUUUGAGAAAAGUAUUCUCUAAUAAGAAGCACUCACCCGGACCGGCUCGUGUAAUCAUCCCCUGGGAAAUCUAAGCCUUUGUUUUGUGAUAUGCAUCGAAUUAAUUCCAAAGCAAGAAAAAUCCCAACUGAAUUGUAUUUUUAUAUGAAAGAAUU